GUUCUUUCUAGAAACACUUUCCAGUACUUCUACUUUGUACGACGUAUUUCAUUUUAUAUAUGAAAGCGACGGGCAAUAUGUACAUAUUUUAAUUUAUAAUCAUUUUAAUAAAUUAAAUAAAAUUACAUUUAAAUCCACCUUUAAAUAUCUUUUAAAAAAUAUUAUUCAUUUAAUCAUUCCUUAUUGUAAUCCAUUAUAUUCUUAAUUAUAAUCUGCAUCUUGAUCUGAAUUAAUUUAUUUUUUAAAUUUUAAAAUAUUAUUUUUAUUAAAAAAUAUUUUUUUAACAACGAUAUACAAAAUAUAAAUUAUUAUAUAAAUUAAGUAAAUUUAUUCGUGGAAUAUCAAUUAUUAAACAGAUUCCUCUAAAUGAACUAAAAUACCGCCAAAUUAUUUAAGUUUCAACAAAUAAUUAUAUACUAUUUUAGUAUUUUUAUUUAAUUUUUAAUAAUAGAGUAUCUAAUUCUAGUUUUUUAAAAAAUUUUAUAAAUCAUAUUAUCUAAUAAAAUUUUAAAUAAAUUAAAAUUUCACCUAAUAAUUUACUAUUUAAUUCAUAAUUUA
rnacentral:rRNA from 1 species